rnacentral:rRNA from 1 species
CCCUUAGAGUUUGAUCCUGGCUCAGGAUGAACGCUAGCUACAGGCUUAACACAUGCAAGUCGAGGGGCAGCAUUUCAGUUUGCUUGCAAACUGGAGAUGGCGACCGGCGCACGGGUGAGUAACACGUAUCCAACCUGCCGAUAACUCGGGGAUAGCCUUUCGAAAGAAAGAUUAAUACCCGAUGGUAUAAUCAGACCGCAUGGUCUUGUUAUUAAAGAAUUUCGGUUAUCGAUGGGGAUGCGUUCCAUUAGGCAGUUGGUGAGGUAACGGCUCACCAAACCUUCGAUGGAUAGGGGUUCUGAGAGGAAGGUCCCCCACAUUGGAACUGAGACACGGUCCAAACUCCUACGGGAGGCAGCAGUGAGGAAUAUUGGUCAAUGGGCGCAGGCCUGAACCAGCCAAGUAGCGUGAAGGAUGACUGCCCUAUGGGUUGUAAACUUCUUUUAUAUGGGAAUAAAGUUUUCCAC